GCGUUGUUUACAACAAUGUUCCAAUCAUUCGUGUGUUCCUACCCUUUAUCCACAGUUCCUUUUACAGGGAGUCCUCGGAUGUCUACAGAUGCUCAAAUCGGUAUCGCCGUAACCAUAGGAACCGUCACCAUAGCCUUCAUCAUCACAUGUCUCGUUAUACUUGGAAGACGCAAACGACGCAAACGAAGCAUACAACUUGAUCAGGAAAGGGAUACCACAGAGUCACAGCCUGCCUACAUACAAGGGACGCACUUUUAAAACUCUAAUAUCUCAGUUAGCGACUUUCGUCACAACUUGGCCAUCGCUCGCAAUUGCAAGACUCUUUCUCCUAUCGAUCAUUAUCACGAAAACACGACACGACAAUCAAAGUUAUAUUGAAUAUUGUUUUAACCACAGAACAGUGAGGCAGUACAGAUAUAUUGUUCCGAAUAAGAUCAGGAAUAUACUAUUUAGCCACAAACCACAUUCUAUAAACUGCACAGUCCUUUUGGUUUGAUUUUAUUCAUUCGUUGCAAUGAAAUGAGAAUGAUUCUAAUCACAGUGUCUGCAUAAACUGAGAUAUUGUAAAGUAAAUUUGGCAUGAAAGCUUGUGUAUAUGGAUAAAAAGUCGGGAGGCUAUGUCCAAGCCUUGUUUCAAAUUAAACACAUCUGUUGGAAA